GCUGCAGGACAAGCUGUGGGUUUCUGGCAUCAGCCCUGCGGCUGGAGGCAUGGCAGGUUUCCUGCCCAAUACCCACUGCUUCUAAGGCCUGCUGCCGCCACCCAGGCAUCUCUUACUCUCUGCACACUGUCUUGGGACAGCCGGCUCUAGGAAUUCUCGCUAUGGCACUCGAUUCAGCCAGGAGACAGGUGAUGCGUAAUGUUGUCAGAAAGCAUGUGCUGGUGAAGAAAUAUAUUGAGCCCUGCUUGGUCCAGUGAGGUUAUUAGUGAAUUGGGAGAGGCUCAAAUCAGCAUGCAAACUAUUGUGAAAUUUUGACAGGUUCUUGCUAAGUUGCCAAGAGUCUUGCGAAGUUGCUCAGAUUGGCUUGAAACUUGUGAUCCUCCUGCUUCAGCCUCUGGAGUUGCUGGGAUUACAAGUGUGUACCACCACACAUGGCUCUGCCUGCUCAGCAAAUUCACCAGAGUGCCAGGAUCAAUCACUAUUUCUGAGGAUAUCCUGGUGAGGCAGUUUAGAAACCUUGGCUGGAUUGUGAAGGCAUAUCUUUGAAAAGUGUUUCAGAGUCCAGCAAAUGUUCCAUGUGAGUGACCACAUAGAAGAAGAGAAGGGGGUUCGCAGUGAUUAAGGUUGUCCCUUUCACAAAUAAUGGUGCAA